GAUUUUCCAUUUUAUUUCCAUUUUAAAAAUCAUUUAAAAAUACCUUUUAUGCAUUUUUAUUUUAUUUAGUUGCAUUUUAAAUUUGUUUGACCUUGUGGACUUAUGUUGACCUUGGAUCAUGAUGAUUUUGACUUCAAGUCUCAUCAAACUCAAUGGAUCUUGGGUGUUGAUGGGGUGAAAACCUUAAUCCACCAAAAUGGAUGAUUGAUUUUGAUGAUGACUUGAUCAAAUUUGUGAUUCAAUUUGGAUUUG
rnacentral:lncRNA from 1 species